AUGGAGAGCUCAGGGACGACUGCUCGCAGGAGAGCCGCUCAUUUAAAAAUCCUGCUCUUGCAUGGAGACGCUGAUCCUGAAGUACCAUACGAAACCAGUAUAUGGUACGCUGAGUUUCUGCGAACCUCAGGCUUUUCAGUGGAUUUUAGAACCUUCAACGGACUGCAGCAUUUUUGGACGUACCGUGAGAUGGAUUAUGUCAAGCAGUGGCUCCGCCCUAGGAUCGCAGUGCCCAGAAUCACAAUUAAGUACUAA
rnacentral:rRNA from 1 species